rnacentral:rRNA from 1 species
AACGAACUCUGGUAUUGAUUGGUGCUUGCAUCAUGAUUUACAUUUGAGUGAGUGGCGAACUGGUGAGUAACACGUGGGAAACCUGCCCAGAAGCGGGGGAUAACACCUGGAAACAGAUGCUAAUACCGCAUAACAACUUGGACCGCAUGGUCCGAGUUUGAAAGAUGGCUUCGGCUAUCACUUUUGGAUGGUCCCGCGGCGUAUUAGCUAGAUGGUGNGGUAACGGCUCACCAUGGCAAUGAUACGUAGCCGACCUGAGAGGGUAAUCGGCCACAUUGGGACUGAGACACGGCCCAAACUCCUACGGGAGGCAGCAGUAGGGAAUCUUCCACAAUGGACGAAAGUCUGAUGGAGCAACGCCGCGUGAGUGAAGAAGGGUUUCGGCUCGUAAAACUCUGUUGUUAAAGAAGAACAUAUCUGAGAGUAACUGUUCAGGUAUUGACGGUAUUUAACCAGAAAGCCACGGCUAACUACGUGCCAGCAGCCGCGGUAAUACGUAGGUGGCAAGCGUUGUCCGGAUUUAUUGGGCGUAAAGCGAGCGCAGGCGGUUUUUUAAGUCUGAUGUGAAAGCCUUCGGCUCAACCGAAGAAGUGCAUCGGAAACUGGGAAACUUGAGUGCAGAAGAGGACAGUGGAACUCCAUGUGUAGCGGUGAAAUGCGUAGAUAUAUGGAAGAACACCAGUGGCGAAGGCGGCUGUCUGGUCUGUAACUGACGCUGAGGCUCGAAAGUAUGGGUAGCAAACAGGAUUAGAUACCCUGGUAGUCCAUACCGUAAACGAUGAAUGCUAAGUGUUGGAGGGUUUCCGCCCUUCAGUGCUGCAGCUAACGCAUUAAGCAUUCCGCCUGGGGAGUACGGCCGCAAGGCUGAAACUCAAAGGAAUUGACGGGGGCCCGCACAAGCGGUGGAGCAUGUGGUUUAAUUCGAAGCUACGCGAAGAACCUUACCAGGUCUUGACAUACUAUGCAAAUCUAAGAGAUUAGACGUUCCCUUCGGGGACAUGGAUACAGGUGGUGCAUGGUUGUCGUCAGCUCGUGUCGUGAGAUGUUGGGUUAAGUCCCGCAACGAGCGCAACCCUUAUUAUCAGUUGCCAGCAUUAAGUUGGGCACUCUGGUGAGACUGCCGGUGACAAACCGGAGGAAGGUGGGGAUGACGUCAAAUCAUCAUGCCCCUUAUGACCUGGGCUACACACGUGCUACAAUGGAUGGUACAACGAGUUGCGAACUCGCGAGAGUAAGCUAAUCUCUUAAAGCCAUUCUCAGUUCGGAUUGUAGGCUGCAACUCGCCUACAUGAAGUCGGAAUCGCUAGUAAUCGCGGAUCAGCAUGCCGCGGUGAAUACGUUCCCGGGCCUUGUACACACCGCCCGUCACACCAUGAGAGUUUGUAACACCCAAAGUCGGUGGGGUAACCUUU